UGGGGAAUAUUGCACAAUGGAGGGAACUCUGAUGCAGCGACGCCGCGUGAACGAAGAAGGCUUUCGAGUCGUAAAGUUCUUUUAUAUGGGAAGAUAAUGACGGUACCAUAAGAAAAAGCCCCGGCUAACUACGUGCCAGCAGCCGCGGUAAUACGGAGGGGGCUAGCGUUGUCCGGAAUCACUGGGCGGAAAGGGUUCGCAGGCGGAAAUGCAAGUCAGGUGUAAAAGGCAGUAGCUUAACUACUGUAAGCAUUUGAAACUGCAUAUCUUGAGAAGAGUAGAGGUAAGUGGAAUUUUUAGUGUAGCGGUGAAAUGCGUAGAUAUUAAAAAGAAUACCGGUGGCGAAGGCGACUUACUGGGCUCAUUCUGACGCUGAGGAACGAAAGCGUGGGUAGCAAACAGG
rnacentral:rRNA from 1 species